UACGUAGGGGGCAAGCGUUGUCCGGAUUUAUUGGGCGUAAAGAGCGUGUAGGCGGCUUUACAGGUCCGUUGUGAAAUCUCGAGGCUCAACCUCGAGACGCCGGUGGAAACCGUAAAGCUAGAGUCCGGAAGAGGAGAGUGGAGUUCCUGGUGUAGCGGUGAAAUGCGCAGAUAUCAGGAGGAACACCCGUGGCGAAAGCGGCUCUCUGGGACGGUACUGACGCUGAGACGCGAAAGCGUGGGGAGCGAACAGG
rnacentral:rRNA from 1 species